GGCAUGGUGGCCAAGUGGUAAGGCAUUGGCCUUGUAAAACACAGCUCAUGGGUUCAAACCCCAUCCAUGCCU